rnacentral:rRNA from 1 species
AUUGAACGCUGGCGGCAGGCCUAACACAUGCAAGUCGAACGAGUGGCGGACGGGUGAGUAAUGUCUGGGAAACUGCCUGAUGGCGGGGGAUAACUACUGGAAACGGUAGCUAAUACCGCAUACCAUCGGAUGUGCCCAUAUGGGAUUAGCUAGUAGGUGGAGUAAGGGCUCACCUGGGCGACGAUCCCUAGCUGGUCUGAGAGGAUGACCGGCCACACUGGAACUGAGAAACGGGCCAGACUCCUACGGGAGGCAGCAGUGGGGAAUAUUGCACAAUGGGCGCAAGCCUGAUGCAGCCAUGCCGCGUGUAUGAAGAAGGCCUUCGGGUUGUAAAGUACUUUCAGCGGGGAGGCGUUACCGACAGAAGAAGCACCGGCUAACUCCGUGCCAGCAGCCGCGGUAAUUC